AUUAUUAAAGAUAAUUCAAGUUUUACUUAUUUACUAAUUAAAUUUAAUGUAUGCAGGUCGAGUCACGCUUAAUUAGGUAAAGCCUAAACUACACUGCAUCAUUUCACAAUUUUACAUCCUCUAGAGUCGACUCCAAAAACUCUUCUCGACUCCAAAAACUCUUCUCCAAAACCCAGUGCUUCCCAUUAAUUCCUGACUCUUCAUAUGUUCACCUAAAUUUCUUUCCACUCGUUCCAACUCUUUUUCCACAUGAUCCAAUUUUAAUCUCAAAAACAAUAAAAUCCCUUCAAUUAUUUAUUUCUCAGA
rnacentral:lncRNA from 1 species